CGUCUCUGCAGCCUCAGGCCCAGCAAAGCCUACUUACAAGUUUACUUAAAUAUUUCUUAUUUUAAAAGUUUUCUGAAUUUUUUCUUACUUUCAUAAUUUACUUAAUUUUUUCUCUUCUCUUACCUGCACAGGGAGGGCUCUUCCCAUGCAAGUGUCCUUCUCCACAGCCCAGCUCAGACCUGCAGAAGUGACCUCAGGAUCUCUGGGUUGAGAAAGAAGAAGGAAAAAUGUGACAAGCUCUGCAAUGCCCCUUUGGGAGAAGGGAGCUGAGGUUUUUUCAGUGGGAAGCAGAGACUGGGAAGCUCCUUUGCUUUCUCCUGUGUGUGGGCAGAGGUGGAUGAAGGCUGGGAAGGUCUCCAAUUCCAGACUGAGAAGCUGAGCAGGGGAUGAAGGAGAAGAUGAUGAGGGAUGUGUAAACUACUCUGGAAGAUCAUCCCAGGAAAGGAACUAAAGGAGCCAGAAAUUAGGUACAGUUCUUCCCUUAUUAAUUUUGGUAAUAAUUAUUUGUAGAAAAUCAAGCUUCUAGAUAAAAUACUCAAGCUUUUGAGAUGAUAGAAUAUUUUAAAAUUAAGAAAAAGAAGAAAUUCCCUUCUCUGGGAAGUUCUAAGAAACAGAGAACAAAAGGAAGUUCCUGAUCUAUUUCUUAUGGAAGAUUUUGCCCUACUCCAUAUCUGAAUGGAUGUUUUAAAUUACAUGAUGACUCUGAAAGUGCAGGAAUUUCUGCUGGGGUUUAAU
rnacentral:lncRNA from 1 species